rnacentral:rRNA from 1 species
GCCAGCAGCCGCGGUAAGACGAGAUGUGCGAGCGUUGUUCGGAAUUACUGGGCAUAAAGGGUGCGUAGGCGGUUUGGCAAGUCGGGUGUGAAAUCCCUCGGCUCAACCGAGGAAUUGCAUCCGAUACUACCAGGCUUGAGAACGAAAGGGGCAAGCGGAAUUCCGGGUGUACCGGUGGAAUGCGUAGAUAUCCGGGAGAACGCCGAAGGCGAAGGCAGCUUGCUGGGUCGUUUCUGACGCUGAGGCACGAAAGCUAGGGGAGCGAACAGGAUUAGAUACCCUGGUAGUCCUAGCUGUAAACGAUGGGCACUAGGCUUCGGGAGACCUGAUUCUCUCGGGGCCGGAGCUAAUGCGUUAAGUGCCCCGCCUGGGGAGUAUGGUCGCAAGGCUAAAACUCAAAGGAAUUGACGGGGGCUCACACAAGCGGUGGAGCAUGUUGUUCAAUUCGAAGCAACGCGAAGAACCUUACCUGGGCUUGACAUGCUAGUGGUACAAACCCGAAAGGGAGCGGACCUCCUAACCGAGGAGCUAGCACAGGUGCUGCAUGGCUGUCGUCAGCUCGUGUCGUGAGACGUUGGGUUAAGUCCCGUAACGAGCGAAACCCUUGUCGUCUGUUGCUACCGGGUAAUGCCGGGCACUCUGGCGAGACUGCCGGUGUCAAACCGGAGGAAGGUGGGGACGACGUCAAGUCAUCAUGGUCCUUACGUCCAGGGCUACAAACGUGCUACAAUGGCGGGUACAGAGAGACGCAAAACCGCGAGGUGGAGCAAAUCUUCAAAACCCGCCCCAGUUCGGAUUGGAGGCUGCAAUUCGCCUCCAUGAAGCCGGAAUCGCUAGUAAUCGCGGAUCAGCAAUGCCGCGGUGAAUAUGUUCCUGAGCAUUGUACACACCGCCCGUCAAGCCACCCAAGCUGGGAGCACCCGAAGUCCGGCGCCAACCAGUCCGGCCGAAGGUGAGACUGGUGAGGGGGACUAAGUCGU